UCUUAUCCUGUGAGAUGGAAAGAAAAAAAGCCAAGAAUAAAUACAAAUUAAAGCAAGCAAGUCUAAAAUAAGAGAAUUAACAUUAUUCUGGGAAGUAGAAGACAAAGUACUUCUGCUAGGAAUGGGAAGACCAAAUAUGGACUGGAGUAUUUGAAAACUCGGUGGAUAUUUGGAAUAUCUGUUGUGGACAAAAAAGAGACAGAAAAAAGGAAGAGAUCAAAAAGUCAAGUAAUUUGAAGUGAUUAUAGGGAAAAGUGAUCUGGACACACAGUUUGUGUCAUUCACAAAAGCAUCUGACCAAGAGAGUAAACUCUGCCCUGUGGUCAACAGUUACUAUUAAAAUUUCAUCAUUCAGAUUCAGGGCUUAUUUCUAGUUGAUACAAAAGUGGAACAUUGCCCUACAUAAUGUUAUACUUUUUGUUAUUCAGAAAUGUUGAAGUUUCUAUGCAUGAGGUUUUUGUUAUUUGACAUAAUUAUUUAUUUCACUCAUUGUGUUUAUCUUAUCCAGAUUAGAUAGAAAUUAACCAAUUUUAACUUUCUGUCUGUUCUGUAUGUUUUAGUAACAAGUAAUUCAGGAGUGCAUGCAAAUGCAACAUGAAAUGAACAGACGAUAAAAUAGAGUAUAUCUGCAUAAAGACUUUUCAUAUGUUAUAAUAAACAGUAUCAAAAACAUUAUUUGUCUUAAACUGUUUAAAAAAUGCCAGUAUAAGUCAUUUUUAACCUAGUAUCAAAAUCGUAAUCAUGUGAAAAGUAAAUAUUUCUUUAAGUUUUGUAAAAUAUUUGAUGUAGAAUAUUUAGCUCCAAAUUAAUUAGGAGAAUUUCAUAGUGUCUUAUAAUUAAGCUGCCCUUAAAUACACCUGAACCUUCAUGCAAACGUCUGUGGUUAUUUGUCUCCACAUGUUUCAGCAGAUGAGGUGAUUUGAAUGCAGCAAAAAAUUUAAUAGCUUAAGUUGAAACAGGAAUUAUCCUAAGGGAAUCUGUAGAAAUGCAUUCAAGAGCAGAUGAGCUAUAUCUAUUUCUUUCAUGCUUUGGUGUAGUAAGUAAUUGUUCAUAGCCAAACGCUUUACGAAGAUAAAUGAUUGAUAUAAUGAAUGACCCGAAGAUGCCCAAGAGCACAUGAAAACAGAAAUGCCUUUGUUCUGAAGGAGAAUGUCUUAGUAUAGUUAUAAAUUGAAUGUAAAAAUUGUGGCUGAAAUUAUUCUAAAAAUCACAAGAAGCUGCAUUUAAACUGUGCUAUGGCAUCUAUUCAAAAGAUUUGAAACCAUUUGUUUUCUGAAUUGCACCCAACAUAAAGCUUUCUCACACAGAACAAAACAGAAGUGAGCAUCAGUCACACUUCCAACAUGCAUACAUUUUGCUCUAAAGGAACAGCUGUUACUUGAUGAAAAGUCGAUGAAAGAUGCCCAACAUUUGUUUUUAAAAAGUUAUCACCCAAACAAGAAUUGUUUGGAACCAGAUGCUAAAAUCGAGAGUGGUCUGUUUAUUUCAGUUCAGAGUGUUAUAAAAAUGUUAAUAAGGUAUUUUUAUGUCUAUUACCCAGCUAUAUUUGACUUUCUAAUGUGCUUUUUGUUAUAAUUGGCUGUUGUUUCUAUAGGCUGGCAUUAUUGGCAUUAGAUCACUGAAGAGUAAAUAAAGUGAGCAAGAAUACUCUCUUGUCACCAGAUUACUGAGGUGUACUGGAGACUCAGCUAGCAAAAAAGAGAAGCAGCUGAACAUCAAAAGAGAAGCAGCAGCUGGGCAUCAGAGACUACGGUUGGACGUUGGAGAGAAGCAGCUUGAUUUCAGAGAGACAGCUUGACAGUGCAACUUUGGAGAAGAGUCCAGCCAGAAACCUUCCUGCUACAUCUCCUUCCCAGCUGCCCUUCCUGCUGAGAGCCACUUUCCUUGGCAAUAAAAUCCUCUGCAUUUACCAUCCUUCAAUUCGUUUCUGUGAGCUGAUUUUUUCCUGGAUGCCAAACAAGAGCUCAGGAGUGAGUGUGGAUACAAAAAGGCAUGCUGAGCUGCUAACACUUCAGCUGUCUGAAGACGGCAGAGCUAAAGGAGCACUGUAAUAUGCCCACUGGGGCUUCAGGAAUCACAGGCACCCCCCUAACCCCAGGGGCUGCUAUGGGGCCCACAUGGAGUUUGCUCCUGCCAACACCCCAAAGCUCUCUUCCUGGCUCCUGUACCUGCUCACCUGCAUGCUCUCUCCUGCAAGAGGUGGAACACAGCAGGUCAGAGUGGGAACAAUCAUGAAGUUUAAGAAGAAAGAAUACUGUCAGAAAAGAGGCAAUUUUUUUUAUAUUUAAAAAGUUCCCUUUUUCCAGUCUAUUCAUUUUUAUGCAUCAACUCUCAUUUUAUCUUGACAAUUUCAUAAUAACUAUAUUUACCUUUAUUUUUUAUCCAUAUGCAUUUCAUUUAAAAGUGAAAACUUUCACUCAAAAUGUAAAAAGAACUUAUAGAAUUUGCCUCCAAAGAGCUCUACUAGUCUGUCUUUCCUAUUUCAUCCAAUGUUACGACUACAAUUCCCAUCUAUCAAACACAGCAGUCAAUUGGUAAGUCAUUUAUGUCUCUUUUUAUACUAUUUUUCAUGAAGUUUCUUUAUUUUCCAGUUCUAUUGUAUGUCACCUCAAAUAUCCAUACAACACAUUAUUUUAAUCUCCUUCCCUCUAAGCAUUCCUGUUCCACUUAAUCUAACACAAUGUUCUCAAAGAUAUGACAAAGUGCAACUCUGUUAAAAAAGCUUCAAAGACUUUCCACUGAACUGAACAGAAUUAGAAUAGAUGAUUAUUUCAGUCAUGUGUUGGUAUAUAACAAAAUACCCCAAUCACCUAUUCUUCCUCCUCUUAAAGUCAAUGUAUUAUUAAAACGUCCAACUUCCUUUUAUGAAAUAUUUCACACAUACCCAAAACUGAAAAAUAAUUGAUACAGCAACAUAACCAGAAACAAGAUUAUAAGAAAUUCUACAAGGGAUAACUACAGGCUAAAAUUGUUUAGCAUCCCCUUGUAUAUUUCUCUAUUUUUAAGUACAGGUCUGUGUAUAGAAUAUUUUAUACCGUAUAUGGUAGUGUUUGUAUCUUCAAAUUUAAAUAAGAUGUUAUUGUUUUCUCUGUAUUAUUUCAACACAUGCUUUAUAAUCUCACUAUGAUAUUUUUGAGAACCAUUCCAGCUGAUACUUGGGUAUCUGUUUUUGUUUAAUUUCUAUAUGGGAUUUCAUUAUAUAUAUAAUAUAAAGCUAUCAAUUUUCAUAUCAGGAAAUAUUGGCAUUUUUAUAUUUACCAUUGUAAAUGUUAAAAACAAAGCUACAAUAAAUACUUAUUGUUUUGUUGUUUAUAUAUAUUAGAAUUUUCAUAGGAUACACAUAGAGCAGGGAAAUUUUACAACUUUGGGCACUUUCAUCCUUACAUUGUCAAGUAGCUUUCCAAAGUCGUUGUAUGAAUUUAUCUUCCCACUAUAUAAUUGUUAGAGUUCCUGUUUUCUAAUAGCCUCAUCAAAGAGGAGAAUUUCUCAAGUAUUAAGCAGUAAAGUAAAAAAAAAGUCAUCGUUCUACAAAUUCAAUUUUACUAAAUAAAAUAUAUUUUAUA
rnacentral:lncRNA from 1 species